UCUUAUGGAUUGUCAAAGAAGUAGUUUCCUGAGAUGGACUCUACUCCUGAUGAAGAUGCUGAGAA
rnacentral:pre_miRNA from 1 species